rnacentral:rRNA from 1 species
ACACAUGCAAGUCGAGCGGAUGAAGGGAGCUUGCUCCUGGAUUCAGCGGCGGACGGGUGAGUAAUGCCUAGGAAUCUGCCUGGUAGUGGGGGAUAACGUCCGGAAACGGGCGCUAAUACCGCAUACGUCCUGAGGGAGAAAGUGGGGGAUCUUCGGACCUCACGCUAUCAGAUGAGCCUAGGUCGGAUUAGCUAGUUGGUGGGGUAAAGGCCUACCAAGGCGACGAUCCGUAACUGGUCUGAGAGGAUGAUCAGUCACACUGGAACUGAGACACGGUCCAGACUCCUACGGGAGGCAGCAGUGGGGAAUAUUGGACAAUGGGCGAAAGCCUGAUCCAGCCAUGCCGCGUGUGUGAAGAAGGUCUUCGGAUUGUAAAGCACUUUAAGUUGGGAGGAGGGGCAGUAAGUUAAUACCUUGCUGUUUUGACGUUACCAACAGAAUAAGCACCGGCUAACUUCGUGCCAGCAGCCGCGGUAAUACGAAGGGUGCAAGCGUUAAUCGGAAUUACUGGGCGUAAAGCGCGCGUAGGUGGUUCAGCAAGUUGGAUGUGAAAUCCCCGGGCUCAACCUGGGAACUGCAUCCAAAACUACUGAGCUAGAGUACGGUAGAGGGUGGUGGAAUUUCCUGUGUAGCGGUGAAAUGCGUAGAUAUAGGAAGGAACACCAGUGGCGAAGGCGACCACCUGGACUGAUACUGACACUGAGGUGCGAAAGCGUGGGGAGCAAACAGGAUUAGAUACCCUGGUAGUCCACGCCGUAAACGAUGUCGACUAGCCGUUGGGAUCCUUGAGAUCUUAGUGGCGCAGCUAACGCGAUAAGUC